AAAUAGAAGGAUCAAGACUCAGUUUUUUUUCUCUACUGGAGUUUAAUAUUUUAGUGAGUAAAUGCAUGGAUAUAAGGGAAGGGAUGGCACUAUCUGGUUCUGCAGCUUACUAUCUUAACAGAGGGAUUAGUGGUUCUGGUUCUAAUGUAGGUAGUGGGUCUGGGACACCUUCAGGGGUAUCUACUCCAUCUGGUUACAAGUCUCUUACAAAUGCUAACAUUGCAGUUCAAUCCAAUAUGGGGAGUAGUAGUGGUAAUGUGAACUCAGGAUACCAAGUUGAGAACUCAUCAUCCAAUUUUGGUCAUGGGGUUAACAUUAGUAUGGCUUCUAGUGUUUCACCUGGUAGUGAUCCAGUGAAAAAGAAGAGAGGUAGGCCUAGG
rnacentral:misc_RNA from 1 species